UACGAAGGGGGCUAGCGUUGCUCGGAAUCACUGGGCGUAAAGGGUGCGUAGGCGGGUCUUUAAGUCAGGGGUGAAAUCCUGGAGCUCAACUCCAGAACUGCCUUUGAUACUGAAGAUCUUGAGUUCGGGAGAGGUGAGUGGAACUGCGAGUGUAGAGGGGAAAUUCGUAGAUAUUCGCAAGAACACCAGUGGCGAAGGCGGCUCACUGGCCCGAUACUGACGCUGAGGCACGAAAGCGUGGGGAGCAAACAGG
rnacentral:rRNA from 1 species